UAGGAUUGCUAUCGCCACCGCCACCUUACAGCCAAGGAGACUGAAAUUAAGUACGAUGCCCUGCAUAGUGAGCGGGUCACAGUCUGGUGGAGUCCCUGAACUUCACUGCACCAUUGGAUGAAAAUCAGCAGCAGAAUGAAGAUUAGCUUGAAACAUGGCGCUGUGUCCUCGUCUGCCUUAUUACUCACUGGAUCUGGAACGGUGAGACUUCCAGCUCUUCCUCAAAGUCAGAAUGACCAUGAAAGGGAAGUAUUUGGACUUAAUUCAGGAUGUUCAGUGCUGCCGCUCCAGCGCAACUAGACACUCGCGAAAAAGGACUUUAGAGGUACUUCAGAUGGUGUGGCCAAAGCAAGCAGAAGGAUUUUGAGGGGUAUCAGUGGCAUGUCUUUUAUGGCAACAAAAGUUUUUAAUUUUUAUUUUAAAAGUCACCAUAGCUUUUGAACACACCUCAUAUAUCUAUACAUAUAUGAGUGUGCAUGUGUGCGACCAAUCAGCAGGGGAGUCUUAAUCAACCUUACAGAAAUGCCAUGCAUAAGCAAUCCAGGCAUCCACCGUGCUCCUGGGAGAGAGAGAGAGGCCCACCUGCCCCGGGAGAAGCUGCCCUUUCUUUUACUAGGCAACCCACAAUCCUUCGCGCAUGGAAUCAGCUCACCAUUUCGGGACACUGCCCUGUUAAUGACGUCCAAAGCGGGCUGUAAGCAGUGCAGGCUGGGGCUAACCCUGAAAUUGGCUGGGUUAAAAAAGUGAGUCUGGCUGAAGCCUACGUGAGUCACAGCAACACUGCAGACGGUAAACAGGGCGCGUCCUUCUGUCUUGUGAUGGUCGAACAAGGUUUUUCAAAGCCAAAAAAGCAAAGGCAACCAGGGACCUAAAUAAGAUGACGUGUACUGUACCAACAUUCUGGGUAAACACCAGCCUCGCACAACUGCUGCUUUACAGAAAUAAAAGGUGCUCCUCAGAAAAGGGAAGGAUCCAGUGGUGCAGGCCACAGGGUUGCAUUCAACUCUGAGACACAAAGACAAUGGGCAGAAAAAAAAAAUGAGAAAGUUUCAUGAGAACUAAAAAGAAAAAAAUUGAACCUCUGCAUUGGGCCAUAGCCAUAGACUUCUGUAUAGAGAAUGAUCCAUUCACGCCAAAGGCCUCAACCUUAAUUUACCGUAAUGCAAGUUCUUCAUUUUACAAAGUGUCUUUCAUCACAUUGACCUGAAAGUUCGUAAUAGGCAUCUGAAUUGAAAAUAAUUGUUCAGAAACAUGAAAGCUGGAAGCAGAAGGAGGGGGAAGAGAAGUAGACCAAACUGUUUCCUUUGAGGUUUAAUUUUGUUCACAGCACAAGGCAGCGUCAGUGCCUGCUUUCCUGCAUGCUUUCUGGUUUGCAGAAACUACCUGGAAAGUGGAAUUUCAGUGGAACGCAUACACAAUGCACCCUGAGUCUCUUUAGGUGGUGUAUCUUGUGGAUUCACAGGGUCCUCAGAAAUGUGCUCUGCAAGGCCCUUCUAGACAUAGGUCCUGGACCACUUGGCUCGCUCCUGAUCCACUGUGUCUACAACUGGGUCGGUCUGAAGGGUAUCUAGGCUGAGGCAUUGCGGGUGCCUUAGUGGGCUUUGUAGCACUGCCCAUGUCUAUGGUAAAAUAAAAGUGGGACAAAGAUCUAAAUAUUAAAACAAAACCACUUAACCUGCUAGAAGAUAAGAUAGGUGGACCUCUUGAUGUCACACCUGUGGGCAAAGACUUUCUGAACAGAGCCCAACUGCACAGAAAUAACAUGAGCAUCAGCAAAUGGGAUUCUCUCCAAUUAAAAAGCUUCUGUACUACAAAGGAAACAAAGAAGAGU